AUUUGGUGCAUGUUUGCAUGCCCUAAAAUGAUGGCAGAGUUUGUUGGAACUGCUUUCAUUAACAACAUUAACUUGAAUAUUCUGUGCAAUUGGAGAGAUUCAUCUUAAUUUUAGUGAACUCUGGAAUUGAGGAUCAAGGAGAGUUGCAGGUCUUAUAGUUGUGAACUACAUGUUAGAUGCAAAUGUUCUUGGUGCAUGAUGACCUCCUGCUACUUUUAAUUUUAUCAAGCAUUUCUUCAGGGCAUUGCUAAUGCAUCAACAUGUGAAAACUUUGUUCUUGGUAUCAUGAAUCUGGUUAAUUAGGUCCUAUUUUGAGUUGUUAUUUUAUUUAUGUUGUCGUGAUUAGAAGUAUUACCUUGAUGGGAUUAUUUGACUGAGGGAAUAUCUUAUUGAAAUCCAAUGUUCAAGUACACCUUUUCUCCCAUCUGCUGGAGCUUUCUACUUCUGGGAUUUCUAUUAAAUGUCAUCUUGUGCUUCUGUUUGGGUUUUCCUCACUGGCAACACUAACCUUAUAGUCCUGAUAAAUGGUGGCAGCAAUACUAAAUCUUUUCAUAAACUCAGUUCAUUUUAUUGUCUUGAUCUUUGAUGCACGGAAACGGCGAGGGGUGGCAUUUCCCCGUGUCGGAAACAUUUCUGACAUGGAAAUGGCGAGACACGGCUGGGAAACUUUUCGGGGCCAUCUCCGCAAUUUUCAGAAGUUGGACACAUGUUUCCUAUGCUGGAAACACGUUUCUUUUAAAAAUAUAUACAUAUAUAUA
rnacentral:misc_RNA from 1 species